AUGCGCGCCUGGGGCUGAGUGACCGCUGCGGGACCGAGGGAGGGGGGUCUUGCCCGGGCAGCUGAAGGAAGCCUUCGGGCCUGGCUCAACGCCGGACAACGCCAACUUCCGAUCGGCCGCCGGAGGCGUUUGCGUCGAUGGCCAAGCCUGGGAGUGGGAAUUAGAUAGCUCCCACCCCAACAGUAGCCGCUAGUAGCUUCCACUAACCAAAUCAGCAUACAUUGUAAUAAAAAGGAACUUAAUUAGAAGACUCCUCUCUAGGGAAGGCAGCUUGAUGGAGAGUGUAGGAACCUGGCUUGCCUGUCUCCAGCCAUCUGCCACAUUAAAGAAGGCCUCCUAUGGCUGGAAUCCAAGACACAAAAUUAAAAGGGUUGCUUGCACCCAAAGUCAUAAAACAAAGAGGCUUUCUGAAGCAGGCCUUGGAGUGAAUACUCAUUUCUUCCUGACUUAAACAGCAUCUGUUUCUCCUGAUGCAUUAGAAGAACAGACUCCAGGUAGACAUUAGUCCAAGGAAGAUGAAAAUACACAUGGUGCAGAGUGGAUCCCAACCCACAGUCCAGAGCCUAGCUCAACAGACCUGCAAGCCUGAAGCACAGUUACCCACACGGAUUCACAGACCGAAGAAUGAGAAAAAGUAAUGUCUGUUGUUGUAUACCACUGAGAUUCUAGGUUUGUUUGUUAUGAAGCAAUAGCCAACUAAAAGCAUUCUUCACUUACCUUGUUUCUCACCCUCAUUUACUUUCUCAUUUAUUAAAUUACUAAAUGAUAGACCCAGGUCUUUAUUCAAUAAAGCAAUAAGUAUUUAUUGAAUACCUAAUAUGCAUCAAGAAUGUUUGGGGCAUCAGGAAUAAGACAUUAAAUAAAACAGACAAAUAUCAAGCUGUAAUAAACAGAUAAUUGUUAAAAGUGAGAAAGCAAAUAAAAUUUAAUAUGUGCCAUGGUAACAAGUACAUGGUAGAAAAACAAAACCAUGAUUGGAGUUGGCGGAGAGAGUGCUGGGGUGAAAAAUGAUGGCCGCUGUUAGAUGGAGCAGCCGGAGUUAAAUAGGGCUGCCCUUCCACUUUCAAUUCAGUGCCAAGUCUUAACAGUUUUGCCUUCAAACCAUAGCUCAAAUCCAUCCACUUAUCUCCAUGUCUACAAUCUCUUUUUUCUACUUCAGUCAUUUGAGUUUAACCCAUGUCUACAAUCUACAGAUAGACCCAGGUCCUAGACCAGGUCACCCUUAUUUCUCACCUGACUAUCUUCUGCCUCCACGCAGCUUCACUCUACUCCCUCUAUCACCCAGCAGCUAUUCCAUGUUGAAAAUAUAAAUAAGAUUAUGAUUACUCUCACAGUAAAGCUCUUCAAGAUCUUCCCAUUGCACUUCAUAUAAAAUCCCAACUUCCUCCCAUGGCCCUGCCCUAAGUGAUAUGAUCCUUGCCAUGGUCCACUUCUCGCAGGUGCCUUGCUCACACUGAUCUUCUUUCUGUUCCUCACAUAUCACAAAUUCUUCCCCAUAUUAGGAUCUUUGUACAUGUGGUCCCCUCACUUGUUCUCUCUCUCCACCUUGGAAACUUCUGAAUGUUUUGCCUGUCACUCCUGACUUUUCUUGAUCCUUCUCAUCAACCUUGGGUCUCAACUUCAAUGCCAAUUUCUUACAAAGGCCCUCCCUGGCCAUGUCUGCUUUCCCCACUGCACCCUACCUAGACUGGGUGCCCCCAUUGUAUGCUGCCAAAGCAUCCAGCUCUUUCUCUGCUGGAACUCACUUCCCACAUGUCAUGACUUGAUCAAAGUCUGUAUUCCCCACUGUAAUUAAGUUUCUCUUCAUAAGUGAGUCCUCAACGCAUAGAUCAGGGCCUGGCAUGCUAUAGUCCUUCAGUAAAGGGUCAUUGAAUUUUCUACUUCAAUUUUGGUCUUAGGUGUGCUCCUAGUUACAAUCACUUUGCUCCCAUUUAAUUUUUCUACAUUUCCUAAUCAAAUGUUAGUAUGUACGGGUGUGACUCCAUCUCCCAAGCAGAAACUCAGCCAUUAAACUUACCAUUCAUUUGUUCACUUAUUAAUUCAAUAUAAAAUAUUUAUAUAGUAUCUACUCCAUGCCGGGCACUGUGUCAAGGCCUGGGAAUACAAAGGUGAGUUGUACUUUCCCUGUCCUAGUGAAGUUAACUGUCUCCUAGGGGAUGCUUGAUUGUCUUCUGUCUUCAAAAUCUAUAAACAGUAGAUGGAAGACUCAAAAACUAAAAAUCAAACACCUAUCCUUUCAAAGCUGUAAGCCUAAGUAUUCUCAGUGGAGGAGACUCUUCUUACCUUUAAGGAACUCCUUGUUUUGUGAAAAGCUCCCACCUAUAAUAGACCAUUUAAUUACAAAAAUGUAAGACAAGGACUUUUUCUGAAGUAGAGUUUUUAGCACUGAAGGGUUAACUAUUCAGUCUGAUCAUUGGAAAGGGUGUUACAAGAAAAGCUGCAUCCCACUCAACUACAGUACCUGAAAUGUUUCAUUGCUAAGUAUAGAUUUUUUUAGAAUAGCUUUAUAGUUUUUGCACAAAUAAUGCAUGUUUAUUGGGAAAAUUCAAAUUAUAGCAAAAAGGCCAAAAAACAUAAAAAUUACUUAAAAUCCCAUGAAUCAGAAAUGAUCAUGGUCAAUACAUUGGUGGAACAUCUUACAAGACAUCUCUUUACACACACACACACACACACACACACACACACAAAUAGCUGAUAUGGAUUAAGCACUUACUUUAUGCAAAGUACAGAGCACCAUGCCUUUUAUAUUUGAUGAAAUGCUGCAAUAACCUUACAGUGUAGUCAUGAUUACCAACAUUAUCAUUCUCCUUUUUGUAAAGGAAGUAACUAAGGCACAAACCAAUAAGGAACAGGCUGUUGAGAAUGCACAUAUUCCUACAUGCUGUAUGGGUUUAUAACUCUCAGAAGUGUUUUAAUGUGCCUUGGAAACUGCCUUGUUUUAGAAACUGGUGUUUGCAAAAUGCUUUGUUGAUCAUUAAAGGAUAUAAGAGAACUUGUUUGAAAUAUUUUGGAUGUGAAUCCUGUUUCUUACUUUGUUACAUUCUGUAAAAUCUUGUAUUCUCUGCCUUCUAUAGCACAGUCCCUUCCAACGUCUCCUAGCAUCUCCAAUACCACCCCCUUUUUCCUUGUCAUUAAACUGGUAUUUUUGUUGUCCACACUGCUCCCACUUCCUACUGGGCCAUCACGUUGCCAUCAACACACCUUUGCUUUUAUAGUAACCACUAAAGAUGUCCCUUCCUGCAGCCAGUGCUACCUUUCCUUCCCAGGCCACCUUACAUUUCUCCUCCUCCUUCAUGACCCGGCUCAUCCUCAAAGAUCUUUUCUUGAUGCUUGAAAUUGUGGGAGGUGCAUAAAAAGGAAAAGAUAUGCACCAUGUCAAAAUGGAGAGAGGUGAGGGGUUUCACAGCCAUUUCACAGAUAAGAAAAUGGAGGUUCAGAGAACUGAAGUCAAUUCCUGAGUUUAUACACAUAGCAAUGAAACUAGAAUUCAAAUCCAGGUGAACCUAACUCUCAAAUUCUUGUUCUAACCAUGACACAAUACUGCCUGCAAUAUUGUCAAGAGCAAUACUGCUCUUGACUCACUCUUUUUGAGACACAGAACCAUUCUAAACUUUUGCACUCUAACAAAAAUGACACUUAUGAAUCCUGUGAUCAAUGUCAGGGAACAAUACUCUGUUAAACCAAGCUGAGAAAACAAUAGGUUACUUAAGAGAAUGAAUAAAUAAAUGUGUCAAUGUGCA